rnacentral:hammerhead_ribozyme from 1 species
AUACUGCUGAGGAGUCCCACAAUAGGACAAAACGACCGUCCAAUGU